AGAGUUUGAUCAUGGCUCAGGAUGAACGCUAGCGGCAGGCUUAAUACAUGCAAGUCGAGGGGCAGCAGGGGUGUAGCAAUACACUCGCUGGCGACCGGCAAACGGGUGCGGAACACGUACGCAAUCUACCCAAAACUGAUGAAUAGCCCUCCGAAAGGAGGAUUAAUACAUCGUAACAUCAUGAGGUGGCAUCACUUUAUGAUUAUAGCUCCGGCGGUUUUGGAUGAGCGUGCGCCUGAUUAGGUAGUUGGCGGGGUAACGGCCCACCAAGCCUGCGAUCAGUAACUGGUGUGAGAGCACGACCAGUCACACGGGCACUGAGACACGGGCCCGACUCCUACGGGAGGCAGCAGUAAGGAAUAUUGGUCAAUGGACGCAAGUCUGAACCAGCCAUGCCGCGUGAAGGAUGAAGGUCCUCUGGAUUGUAAACUUCUUUUAUGUGGGACGAAACCUCUUAUUCUUAAGAGACUGACGGUACCAUAGGAAUAAGCACCGGCUAACUCCGUGCCAGCAGCCGCGGUAAUACGGAGGGUGCAAGCGUUAUCCGGAUUCACUGGGUUUAAAGGGAGCGUAGGAGGGCAGGUAAGUCAGUGGUGAAAUCUUCGAGCUUAACUCGGAAACUGCCGUUGAUACUAUCUGUCUUGAAUACCGUGGAGAUGAGCGGAAUAUCAUGUAGCGGUGAAAUGCUUAGAUAUGACAUAGAACACCAAUUGCGAAGGCAGCUCGUUACACGAAUAUUGACUCUGAGGCUCGAAAGCGUGGGGAUCAAACAGGAUUAGAUACCCUAGUAGUCC
rnacentral:rRNA from 1 species